rnacentral:rRNA from 1 species
AGUGAACGCUGGCGGUAGGCCUAACACAUGCAAGUCGAACGGCAGCACAGUAAGAGCUUGCUCGUACGGGUGGCGAGUGGCGGACGGGUGAGGAAUACAUCGGAAUCUACUUUUUCGUGGGGGAUAACGUAGGGAAACUUACGCUAAUACCGCAUACGACCGACGGGUGAAAGCAGGGGAUCUUCGGACCUUGCGCGAUUGAAUGAGCCGAUGUCGGAUUAUCUAGUUGGCGGGGUAAAGGCCCACCAAGGCGACGAUCCGUAGCUGGUCUGAGAGGAUGAUGAGCCACUCUGGAAGUGAGACACGGUCCAGAGUCCGACGGGAGGCAGCAGUGGGGAAGAUUGGAAAAUGGGCGAAAGCCUGAUCCAGCCAUACAGGGUGGGUGAAGAAGCCCUUCGGGUUGUAAAGCCCUUUUGUUGGGAAAGAAAAGCAGCAGGUUAAUACCCCGCUGUUCUGACGGUACCCAAAGAAUAAGCACCGGCUAACUUCGU